UUUCCGUAGGUGAACCUGCGGAAGGAUCAUUAAUGUGUUUGGGCCUCACGGCUCUUCAUUCCGACGCUGUGCGCCUUCGGGCUGCACGCUGAGGGAGCAUAUAUCCACCCCUGUGCACACACACGGUGGCGAGCUGGGUAACGGCUCGCCGCUGAUCUUUACACACGUCUAAAAGUCAUUGUAUGUUUAUUUGAGAUAAAAACACAACUUUCAGCAACGGAUCUCUUGGCUCUCGCAUCGAUGAAGACGCAGC
rnacentral:misc_RNA from 1 species